CGGGUGAGUAAUGCGUGACCAACCUCGCCCCAUGCUCCAGAAUAGCUCUUGGAAACGGGUGGUAAUGCUGGAUGCUCCAACUUNGACGCAUGUCUUGUUGGGAAAGUGUUUAGUGGCAUGGGAUGGGGUCGCGUCCUAUCAGCUUGUAGGCGGGGUAAUGGCCCACCUAGGCUUCGACGGGUAGCCGGCCUGAGAGGGCGGACGGCCACAUUGGGACUGAGAUACGGCCCAGACUCCUACGGGAGGCAGCAGCU
rnacentral:rRNA from 1 species